rnacentral:lncRNA from 1 species
UUCCCAUUUCGUCCGUUGACGUAUGGUUGUAUCCCUUCCAGUCAUUCAUUAAUGUUUGGUUACCUCUCCGUUGGUCUUGGUAAACGUUGAGUUUUUCCCAUUUCGUCCGUUGACGUAUGGUUGUGUCCCUUCCAGUCAUUCACUAAUGUCUGGUUACCUCUCCGUUGGUCUUGGUAAACGUUGAGUUUUUCCCAUUUCGUCCAUUGACGUAUGGUUGUAUCCCUUCCAGUUAUUCAAAUAACGUCUGACUACCUCUCCGUUGGUCCCGAUAAACGUCGAGUUUUUCCUAGUUGUCCGUUG